rnacentral:rRNA from 1 species
UACGUAGGUGGCGAGCGUUGUCCGGAUUUACUGGGCGUAAAGGGCGCGUAGGCGGUAGUGAAAGUCAGAUGUGAAAUCCCAGGGCUCAACCCUGGAACCGCAUUUGAAACUCCAUUUCUAGAGGGUAGGCGGAGAAAACGGAAUUCCACAAGUAGCGGUGAAAUGCGUAGAUAAUGUGGAAGAACACCGGUGGCGAAGGCGGUUUUCUAGCUUAUUCCGUGACGCUGAGGCGCGAAAGCAAGGGGAUCAACAGGAUUAGAACUGACCCAUUGAGGUCCCGAGGAACCAAAC